UCCAAAAACAUUUCCGCCUCUGUUUUUUGUCUUCAAAAACGGAAACAACGUCAUUGGCUGGAGCGGCGCUUCGGCCACCUCUCUCCGUUCCGAGUGCCUCUUUGGAUUUGGGUGCCCAGCGGCAACCAUGAUACGCGUGGUGAUCGUGAUGAACACCGAGGGCAAGCCCCGCCCCCUCAAGUUUUAUGACUUCCGGGUCCCCGAAAUCUCCUCCUUUUUCUCUCUUCUGCCUUGAUGUUUGCAUUCCAAUUGGAAUCGUCUCUUUAGAUUGACUGCUCUUGCAUGCUCUUCUCUUGAAGUCCAGCCCCCGGAGAAACAGCAGGGGCUCAUACGCAGCGUCUUCACAGGUCGGAAGCCUGUAAUCCCAAUAAUAUGGAAAAGAACCCUCAAUUCACCCCUCUUACUUCGUUCGUUUUAUAUCUUCGCUACAAAAUUUCCAUUAAUAUUUUUACGUCAUUAUGCCGUAGUUUUAUCGGGAAGACCGGACAAUGUUAGCAAUUUCGUCGAAGCAGAUGCAAUCUUCGGCUCAGUAAUCUUGUCCUCUCUUACUUUAUCUCUCGUUGCAGAAAGGAGGAAGCCACCAAGAGGAGACCAUAAACGUCUAUAUGUUUGAUUUUUUGUUACAAUUGUACCUCUAAUUGCUGAAUAUAAUUCCUCCUUUUAAAGUUGGAUUUUUUAUCAGAGAAAAAUUGUUGAUGAUUUAUAGAGCUAAGGGCCCGUAAAAUUCCACAGACAAUGUUGGCCAUUGCUUAGAAAUUUUGUAGAUAGAUUGUGGCUUUGAUGUUUGCUCUCCAAGAAAAUUCCCAUCUUUCCUGCCAUCUAUCUUAUCAAUCUGGUGACUGCCACUGCCAUGGUUCAUCUUUCUUGCAGGGUACCCGGCUGGUAUACAAGCACCUCGCGACGCUGUAUUUUGUUUUUGUGUUUGAUGGUUGUGAAAACGAACUACCUAUGCUCAACCUCAGUCAAGUCCCUGUUGAGACACUGGACAGAUGCUUCAAGAAUGUCGGUGAGCUUGACAUAGUGUUUAACUUCAACAAGAAGGCCGAGACGGGCUCUACAAGAUUUCAUGUAAACUAUGUGAACGUGGAUUUCUUAUUCCCGGAUGCAUACUGUCCUAGAUGAAAUCAUAUUUGGAGGCCAGGUGCUGGAAACUAGUUCCUAGCAAGUGAUUAAAGCAGUCGAGGAAAUCUCAAGGCUAGAGAAAUCUUCCAAUUCAAUCAGCUGGGUGCCAAAGUCUGUAACCAGAAGGUUUGGCCGCUAGUCUGCUGCAAAUUUCAGGAUGUGGUUCCAGGACCAGUGCAUCACUGUGUAGGUUUCUUCAAUCUUCUGCAUUUGAGUUGAUAACAUCAACAGAUUGGGAGCUAGUUUGAGCCAUGGUGAAGGGAAACAGGAGACAUUUCACCGAGGCCAGACCGCACCUGGUAUAUUUGCUUACAUUGCUAGGUAAGCAACUUGGUAUGGAGGCUAGGUAAGCACCUGGUAUGGAGACAUUUCACCGAGGCCAGACCGCACCUGGUAUAUUUGCUUACAUUUGCACCUGGUAUGGAGACAUUUCACCGAGGCCAGACCGCACCUGGUAUAUUUGCUUACAUUGCUAGGUAUAUUUGCUUACAUUGCUAGGUAAGCACCUGGUAUGGAGGCUGGGCUGCCCCCUUUUAUAUGUUUACUGGGUUCGUCUGGACUGAUUCAGUUUUUAGCAACUUCGAUACUGAUGGAUUUUCCAGAACUUGUAAGUCAGGCCAAUUUUCAUUAGGCAAGUAUACUUUUAGAUUUAAUUCCCUGAUAAAUGUAUGCUGUCUGAGUCAUGCUAUCAGUUUGCUUUUCCAUUUAUUUCAUUGCUUUGUGUUUAUUUCAAGUUACCAGAAAGUGAUUUCUGUCAUUAUCAGUUCCUACAUAGUUCAUCAUAAUUUUAUGUCAUUAUUGGAAGCCUUAUCUCACCCCAUAUGGUCUUUACUCUGUAUUCAUUUUUCCUUUUAUAAAUUUAGCUUUCAUUAUGAUAAUUGUUUGAGCAUAUACCUCUCUACAGCCGUCAGUUCUAAUUGACAUUAUUGUUAUAAAGUAACUGUAAAACAUAUAUCAUCACUCAUCAUUGGCUCCUGGUGAGUUGUAUUAGCAGUAUUUAUUUGCAUGUCUGGUUGGGAUACUACUGUCAGAAAAAAGAGGUUUCAAGGAAUCAUGAUUAGUAGUAUAAGUUCAUUUAAUCAGGCCAGCCUGAAUAAGCUUUGCACCACAGGUUGGAAUUGGCUAAUUUGUCUGCACAUCCUUCCAACCAUUGCUUAGUAAAAGAGAUGAGCUGGUCAAUUUGGCAAACUCAAAUCUUCUCUGGAUUGCAUGGAUUUAAUUAGUAUGAUUGUGAUUAGGUGUGCACAUCAAGUGAUAAUAUGCCUUGUGCAAAUGCUUCACGGUUGGAGUAUACAACCACACCACGGGCAGUGUGUUCAUUGCAUCUGAAGUGUUGAUUGCAGCGUUCUCUCUUUCUCCCUUAGGAAAGGUGGUCGUGGAUCGGUCGGAUCCUAUCCAUGGUGCCAGAGUUUGAACAGGACUGUUCUUGCGUUGCCAUGGAGGAAUACGAAGGGAUCUCCUUUUCCCUUGCUUCUCUCCAUCUUCCAGCUUACGUUACUUGGAUUCCAACCUUGCCCUGCGUUUUAAGGGAAGACGGAGCGGAGCAGGUCAAAGGCCAACCCACGCCAGCCAGUAGUAGUCAUUCAUUCAGUUUACCUAUCUUCUCCACCACUCGCUCUUGCUUCCACGCCGGAGAUGCUCGAUCGAGCUUCGUGUGGCUCAGUCGUAGCCCUUUUGCUUUACAAAUGGGCAAGCGGAGACCGAGUUGGGCACCCUGUUUUGAUCACUAUUAAUGGUCUCCCACCUUGCGUGGCACCCUUCUCUCCAGUCGCCAUGAGAUCAGAUCACCGUUGCUUUGCAGUGUAGCACGCCACCUUGUUCAAUGGGUUUGAAUUCGCAUGUUUCUUGCCCCAUCUUGAGGUGGCGGUGGAGAGAUAGUGGUCUUCUUUUUCACCGAUGCAACAGCCAACGCCACCUCCGGGCUCCAGCUCAAGUCUUCCAAAAGAACCAUGCCGGAGUAAUAGAAUAUGAGAAGGAGAACAUGGUGACAUGGGGUUGGCAGUGAUGAAUCCUCCUAGCGUGGUAGCCUCGUCAGCCCUAAGGCAAGAACACAGGUGGCGCUGCCCUCCAAGCUCCCCAUCAUCCCCUCUUUUGAACGCUUGGAGGAGCAGCAGCGCAGCACAGCACUCACCCACUCUGCUUCAGCUCCGGUAUUGACAUGACACUCGAAAGUCCAACCAGAAGCCUAUAUAAACAAUAGUGGCGAUGUGAUCUUUUUUAGUCGCCUCCCCCUCCCCUGUUUCUUCUUUUGCAGCAGCCCAUGCCCCACCGAACUCAGCAUCUCCACCAAUGAUCCACCCUCACUGUAAUUAAUAGAUUUCUAGUGCCAAAAGAACAGGAAAGCUGCAGUGACAUGGUGCUUCGUGAUGAUGAUGACGAUACUUGGUUUUCCCUCUAUAUUUUUGCAUGUGGGAGUUCUUUCGACCAUUCCAGCAAAUUGAGUACUUAGAAGAGCACCACAAGUUCCAAGAUUUAAUGGUGAGUUCCAGUUGGUGGAGGAGGUACAGGGACGAUAAGGUUGUUUACUUCACAGGCAUCUCAUGAUGGUGCUCUAAGCUUUUACCAUUUUGUUGAACUAUCGGUGUAUCAUUAGGAGGACAGCUUUGGGAAUGCUUAAAGAGUCAGCUGCCAUGGGAGUUAUCAAAGAACACGAGUAGGAAGAGUACUUCUGCAAUCACAUGCAGUACUUGCGCAACUUCACUUGAAGAUGGUGACAUUUGCGUGCUGGAUUCUGCAUGUACCUCUACUCGAGAAGUCCCAUCUGCUCUCCGAUGGGAACUGCGUAUCCUUGGGAAGAAAUGACCCUCUCAGGGUUACCAAGAUGGACAUAUUAGAUUCAUGUAUAUUCUCAAACCAUACAUCAGAUUAGAAUAGGAAAAGAAGGAAAUAGA